GUGCUCGCUUCAGCAGCACAGAUACUAAAAUUGGAAUGAUUUAGAGAUUAGCAUGGCCCCUGUGCAAGGAUGGCACUGAAAUUCGUGAAGCAUUCCAUAUUUUU